GCCUCGUCUCUGCUCUCGAACGGUAAACGGCCAGGUAAGAGGAGAUAGAGCCAAGGGACGAUUACUCGACGAGCCUUUCUCCCCUCCACCUCAUCCUUCACGAAAUUCUCUCGUCUAAAUUGUGGACCCCUCAGGGACGUCUAUAUCCUAGCCUGCUCGUUCAUAAUUGAGCGCGUCUCUAUCCUCUCUACCGGACCAUUCUCCCUCUUUCUUUGAUGAGUUCAAAAACUG